rnacentral:rRNA from 1 species
AGCGAACGCUGGCGGCAGGCCUAACACAUGCAAGUCGAACGAACUCUUCGGAGUUAGUGGCGGACGGGUGAGUAACACGUGGGAACGUGCCUUUUGGUUCGGAAUAACUCAGGGAAACUUGUGCUAAUACCGAAUGUGCCCUUCGGGGGAAAGAUUUAUCGCAUUAGAGCGGCCCGCGUCUGAUUAGCUAGUUGGUGAGGUAACGGCUCACCAAGGCGACGAUCAGUAGCUGGUCUGAGAGGAUGACCAGCCACACUGGGACUGAGACACGGCCCAGACUCCUACGGGAGGCAGCAGUGGGGAAUCUUGCGCAAUGGGCGAAAGCCUGACGCAGCCAUGCCGCGUGAAUGAUGAAGGUCUUAGGAUUGUAAAAUUCUUUCACCGGGGACGAUAAUGACGGUACCCGGAGAAGAAGCCCCGGCUAACUUCGUG